ensembl:lncRNA
CACGCACACAGUCACUCUCACAGACACACGCACACAGUCACUCUCACAGACACACGCACACAGUCACUCUCACAGACACAGUCACUCACAGACUCACAGACACAAUCACUCUCACAGACACACAGACAGUCACUCUCACAGACACCCAGACACACACACAGUCACUCUCAGACACACACACACAGUCGCUCUCACAGACACACACAGUCGCUCUCACAGACACACACAGUCGCUCUCACAGACACACAGUCGCUCUCACACACACACAGUCGCUCUCACAGACACACAGUCGCUCUCACAGACACACAGUCGCUCUCAGACACACACAGUCGCUCUCACAGACACACACAGUCGCUCUCUCACACACACAGUCGCUCUCUCACACACACAGUCGCUCUCACAGACACACACACACACACAGAGGUACUCUCUCACACACACACACAGAGGUACUCUCUCUCACACACACACAGAGGUACUCUCUCACACACACACACAGAGGUACUCUCUCUCACACACACACAGAGGUACUCUCUCUCACACACACACAGAGGUACUCUCUCUCACACACACACACAGAGGUACUCUCUCACACACACACAGAGGUACUCUCUCUCUCACACACACACAGAGGUACUCUCUCUCUCACACACACACAGAGGUACUCUCUCUCUCACACACACACACACAGAGGUACUCUCUCACGGACACACACAGAGGUAGUCUCACGGACACACACACAGGUACUCUCACGGACACACACAGAGGUACUCUCACAGUCGCGCGUGCACACAGAGACAGACGGACAGUCGCGCACAGACACAGACAGUCGCGCACAGACACAGACAGUCGCGCACAGACACAGACAGUCGCGCACAGACACAGACAGUCGCGCACAGACACAGACAGUCGCACAGACACACAGUCACUCGCACAGACACACACAGUCACUCGCACAGACACACACAGUCACUCGCAGACAGCACACACAGUCACUCGCACAGACACACAGUCACUCGCACAGACACACACAGUCACUCGCACAGACACACAGUCACUCGCACAGACACACACAGUCACUCGCACAGACACACAGUCACUCGCACAGACACACAGUCACUCGCACAGACACACACAGUCACUCGCACAGACACACACAGUCACUCGCACAGACACACACAGUCACUCGCACAGACACACACAGUCACUCGCACAGACACACACAGUCACUCGCACAGACACACACAGUCACUCGCACAGACACACACAGUCACUCUCACACAGUCACUCUCACAGACACACAGUCACUCUCACACAGUCACUCUCACAGACACACACACACACACACACAGAGGUCACUCUCACAGACACACAGUCACUCUCACACACACAGUCACUCUCACAGACACAGACACACAGUCACACACACACACAGAGGUACUCUCACAGACACACACACACACACACACACAGUCACACAGUCACAGACACAGUCACAGUCACUCACACAGGUACACACAGUCACUCACACACACACACAGUCACUCUCACACACACACACAGUCACUCUCACACACACACACAGUCACUCUCACACACACACACAGUCACUCUCACACACACAGUCACUCUCACACACACACACAGUCACUCUCACACACAGUCACUCCCACAGACACACAGACACACAGUCACACAGUCACACACACACACAGAGGUACUCUCACGGACACACACACACACAGUCACUCACAGACACAGACACACAGUCAGUCAGUCAGUCACUCUCUCUCACACAAACGGUCACUCACACACACACACACACACACACACACACACACACACACACACACACACACACACACACACACACACACACACACAGGUACUCUCACAGUCGCGCGUGCACACACACGCAGACAGUCGCGCGUGCACACAGAGACAGACGGACAGUCGCGCGCGCACGCACAGAGACAGACGGACAGUCGCGCGCGCGCACGCACAGAGACAGAAGGACAGGCGCGCGCGCACACAGGCGCGGACAGGCGCGCGGGCGCGGACAGUCGCG